rnacentral:lncRNA from 1 species
UUUUUUUUUUUUUUUAACUUUUUUAAUGACUCAUUUUUAUUUCGUGUGAGUUGAUGUUUGCUUACAUGUUUGUCUGUAUGAGGGUGUUGGAUCCUUUGGAGCUACAGACAGCUGUGAGCUGCCAUGUGGGUGCUAGGAAUUGAACCUGGGUCCUCUGGAAAAGUAGCCAGUGCUCUAACUACUGAGCCAUCUCUCUCAGAUAGAAUAAUACUAUUUAAUUUUCUUAGAAUUGGUAAAGUAGCCUUUAUAGAUCUAAUACUUUUCUAAAAUCAAACUUAAUACCAUUUUUUAAGUAUAUUUCUUGAACUAGAGCUGUAGCUCAGUUGGUAGAAUGCUUGCCUAGCACUUGUGAAGCACUGGGUUCAGUCCCCACCCUGCAUAACCCAGGUAUAGUAGCUUACACCUAUAAUCCCAGCACUUCGGAGGGAGAGGGAGGGGUAACAAAGGUCCAGGGUCAUUCUUGCCUGCCUGGGGCUCAGAGCCAUCCUGGGCUAUGUGAAACUCUGCCUCAAAUUUUUCUUUUAAAUCUGAAAUGUAAACAUCAUGGACAAAAUUAUAAGUGAAUAACUUAGAACACCAAGACUCAGAAAUAAUAGACUAAAGAUGACUAACCAAAACUAAAGAGCCUUUGUCUAUUUUCAAGAGAGACAGGAAGAGCACAGCAAAGGAGUUGAACAGUGGAUCUCAUAACUGAACAUAAAAAAUGAUCAUCUUAAAAAGUGUUCAUCUUGGGGAGGGCUCCCCUUUAUCAGAGAAGAACGGGAGAGUGGGUGGGGGAAGGGCUAAGAAAGAGGGGUGCUAGAAGGAGGGGGGCUGGGAUUGAGACAUAAAGUGAAUGAAUAAAUGGGGGAAAAAAACAACAAAAAAAAGUGUUCAUCUUAACUACAGAUUUUGAAAAUACAAGUGAAAACCUUAUUCCACAAAUAUUUUUUUUAAAUAUGAUUUAUAUCAUGUUAGCCAAACAGGUUAAUUCUCAUUACCAUCUCCCUAAUAAGUUAAUUUAUUUCUACUUUUUGCUUGUUUGUUCGUGUGUGUGUGUGUUUGUGUGUGUGUGUGUGUGUGUGUGUGUGUGUGUGUGUGUGUGUGUGCGCGCGCCUGAUUGGAGGCUAGAGGACAACUCUCAAAAGUUGGUACUCCCCACCGUUUGAGUUUUGGGACUCUAACUCAGGUCUUUAGGCUUAGUGCUCUGAAAGAGCAGCCAGUGCUCUUAACUGCUAAGCCGUCUCUCCAGCUCCAGCUGUUUAUUUAUAUGUUGUUCAUAUGGGUAGUCAGCCAACGUGGGUCACAUGGGUGCAGUGCCCAUGGAGGCCAGAAAAGGAUGUUCUGGAACUGGAGUUAUAGACGGUUGAAAGCCUCUACUCUACGUGGUGCUGGGAAUUGAGCCAGGGUCCUGUAUAAGAGCAACAGUGUUCUCAGCUACUGAGCUCUUUUAGUUUGUGUUUGUUUUAUUUUGUGACAGUUUCACUCUGUUGCAAACUGGUAUAAUAGAAAUGGUGAUUCUUGGAUCUGCACCAGGUCGUGUGUAUAUUAUGGAUUCCAAUUCAGUGUCUUUAUGGGAUUCCUGAGUGUGCAGAUGAAUGGAUCUCUGAUUAUUGUAUCUUUUCUCGGCUGUUUUCCUGCUGUUUAUUUGUUUUGUCCAAUUCUGAUGUGUUAGUUUUGUUUUAUCUUUUUGUACCUUUUUUAUUUUUUUUAAACAUUUUUUUUAAAGUAAUGGUGAUUUUUGUGUUCAGCAUCCAGUGUUUCAGAAUUAUAGGCAUGAGUCACCACACCUGACUAGUUUCUAUUUUCUUUAUUAUUUGUCAUACAUAUAGCAUCUUUAGCAAUGUGCAUACAGAUCUUUUUGUCUUUUUUUUUUUUUUUUAGAAACAACAACAAAAAAAGGUCAUCUUGCCUCUACUUCUUAAAUACUGGAAUUAUAGACACAUACUAAACUACCAUAUCUGGUUCCUUUUGCCCACUUGGUGUCGUGUGUGUGUGUGUGUGUGUGUGUGAGAGAGAGAGAGAGAGAGAGAGAGAGAGAGUUUAUAUUUUGUAUUUUGUUUCCUGUCAAAGAGAUUUUAGCCUAAUCCACUUGUGAAGGUCUACUUGUAUGCUUGUAGAAAUGUUAGUUUUAGGUUCCCGCCUGUUGUCUAUUUCUCAGAUAAGUUCUGCACAUUUUUUAAUGCUCAAGGGUUUUGAGGUUGGGGGAUUUGUUCUGUGCAGAUCCAGUUACUACAGCACUGCUUAUUUAGAAUCUGUAUCAUUCUGCAGAUAAGAGCAGGAUUUCUAGAUUCUGCCUGCUUCCUGAGUUGGUUUCCUGACUCUGCCACUUACUAUCCAUGUACCGUUAGACCUGUAAGCAGUUCUGAGCUUUGGCUUUCUCCUCUAUAAAAUGGGAGCAGUUAGAGUACUCGACCUCAGAAUGUACUAUGAGAACGGAAAGACUGGAGUAUUUCUGGUGCCUGGAACAGCCCCUGUGCUUCAGUUGCUGGUGCUGUUGGUGAUCAUUAGCGCCCUCCUCAUGUUAAAGAGAAAAGGUUCUGCUGGACUUGUAGCCUAGGCCUAUAAUCCUAGCUACUUAGGAAGCUGAGGCAGGAGGAUUACAAAAUCUACACUUGCCUGGGACACAGCAGGGCCAGCUCUGGCAACUUAACAGGAUUGUGUCUUAAACAUUUAGAAAUAAGACUGAUGAGAUGGCUCAGUGGGUAAAAGCUCUUGCUGCAUAAACUUGACUACCUGAGUUGUUUAAAAGGCUUGGUCAAUGGUGGGCAAAGCCUUAGGUUCAGUCCCUAGUACUGGAAAGAAAGGGGCUUGCAGGGAGCUCUUCUUAGCGUGUCAGUCCAUAAGGUUUCUGGUGUUCUUUCUUGGAAAUUCUGUGCUUUUUAUGUUUUUACUUUAUGGCAACAUUUUAUGAAAAUAAAAAGGUAAAAUUACUGUUUAAUGUUUAUUUUCUAGCUAGUGGUGGUUGGCAAGAACCAGAAAACCCUCACACACAACGGGUAAGUACAUGAACAUAGGCCUUAGAGGAUGAAGCAGGAAGGGUGGCAGGUGUGACCCGUGCUGAGAACUGCCUGCAUUUAUGCCCAGGGUUCAGUUACUCACAGAGAGCCACUAAGUCAGUGGCAGUGUUCUUCUCUGUUACAUAAAUUCGUGGAGAACACUGUAGUUUUGGUUCUGUGUUCCAGAUAAUAUUUC